rnacentral:rRNA from 1 species
CCUACGGGAGGCAGCAGUGAGGAAGAUUGGUCAAUGGGCGCGAGCCUGAACCAGCCAAGUAGCGUGAAGGAUGACUGCCCUACGGGUUGUAAACUUCUUUGAUAAAGGAAUAAAGUGAGGCACGUGUGCCUUUUUGUAUGUACGUUAUGAAUAAGGAGCGGCUAACUCCGUGCCAGCAGCCGCGGUAAUACGGAGGAUCCGAGCGUUAUCCGGAUUUAUUGGGUUGAAAGGGAGCGUAGAUGGGUUGUUAAGUCAGUUGUGAACGUUUGCGGCUCAACCGUAAAAUUGCAAUUGCUACUGGCAGCCUUGAUUCCAGUUGCGGUCGGCGGACUUC